UGCUGUUGAAUUACAAGGUGAUUGCAGUGCUCAAGUAGUGGAAAACCUAGAUUUCAAAAAUAGUUUUCGGUUUGGAUUUUAUUUUUCUUUUCUUGAUGUCACUUCAAAGAUAAACGGAACUUCCAGAUAACUGAAUAAGAGCUUUUAGAUGUAGACUUGCUAUGGGGAAAACCAUCUCUGUGUUUCCUAUGGGGAAGCCAACUUGUUUUAAAUAAUUAGAUUUUUACUGAGUGUUUUUCUUUACAUGUUUGUUUAAUUUUUAACACAGAACAUUAUCAAGAUGGUCUAAAUCCUGUUGACAUUUUUAUGGUUUUUUGCUGGUAAUGUUAUUAUUGGCAUAAGAAUAUUCCUUGAACAUUUUCUUGUGUCAUUUCAUCAUUUGUAUCAUAUGACUUUACAUUAUUAUACUACAAUUAUACUACAUACUUAAUUACAUACUUUGGUUUCUUUAAUCCCUAAUUCUGAAGUUAUGUUUCUUCUGAUGUUUUGGAAUUAUAAAUUACAAAGCAAAUGUAACUGCCCUUCAUGCACUUUCCUUUAUGUUUGAAGAUAUGUUUCUAGAGUGCAAGUUGUUUAGAUCAAUGUUUGUGAGUACAUUGGUAGCUUCUGACAUGGUUUUGAAAUUGCCUCAGAAUUGCACCAAUUUAUUUUGAUGGCAGCGGGGUGCGCAGAUGACCCUUUCCUCACACCAUCUCCGAUAGUGGUGUUCACCAAAACAUCUUUGUCCAAUAGUGCAAAAUGUCAUGCUAACCUUGUCUCAGUUUCAUGUCUUUAAUUCUGAAACUGGAAACAAAAACAAUGCGCCAGUGGGCCGUGGACACUUCUUCUGUGUAUGGCAUAGUGUGGCUUUUAUUCUUCUGUUCUAGUAUGUCCUCCCUGAUUUCUAGUCAUUUUUGAAUUACUUAUAGACAAUUAACAUUGCCCAGUAUAUUAUGAAAAUGUGUUUCCACUUUAUUGUUGCCUCUGAAAACAUUUUGAACAGAACCAUUUACAAGCAAGACUUGAAUUUUUCUUUUUUAUGUUGUCUUAGAUUGGUGUGAGUUUCCACCUUUGUGUACCAUGUUUUUCCUUUGAACUUCAGAACCAUUUUAUCACUGUCUCUCUUCCCUCUUGGGAAAAAGAAAACCAUCUUUUUCUUUUCUUUUGAAUUACUUACAACUAUGAAUUGAUUUAUAGAAUGCUAAAAUAUUUGUAAAAGCGAGCAUUUUCAUUGGGACUCAAAUUCUUCUGUGUGCCUUUUUCUCCUGGUGAUUUCUUUAAAUGGAUCUCUAAGGUGUUUUCCCGUCAGUAUUGAUUUGUUUUGCUGAAUACAUUUUUAUGUGUGCUGUUUUUCUCUCUAUUUCUGAACUAUAGCAGCAUUUUUGUGCAUUCUCUCUUACUCUCCACUGAAUGAUGAACCUUAUGAACUCCAAUUGUUCUCUCUCCAUUUCUUGUAUUUCUAAGAAGACCGACAUAUGAUUUGGGCUGACUUGGACUUCGCAGAUGCCUUUUAUGGUGGAGGAAAUCUCACAAUUGCAACUCUCAUUGUCACAAAGAGAUGACCCAGCACCUCCUAAUUCACCCAAGCCGAAGCCAAAUGCAAACCCUAAGCAACCUGGAUUUAUUGUCAUUUGACACUCCUCUCUGUGUCAGUGUCUGAGGCACCCUGGGACCAUCCUGACUGGAAAGCACAGUGACAUUGCUGGCCUGAGCUGAAGUGCUGAUUAAAAUAAAUUGAAAGCUGAAUGACCUUAUGAAGAGCUGCUUUACCCAGGAACAAAUAUGGAGAGGAACUCCUUGCAACUGUGUUCUCAAGUAGACCACUUUUGAGAAAUUAUACAUUUAUCAUAACACCUCAAGUCCUGCUCUGCA